UACGUAGGGUGCGAGCGUUGUCGGGAAUUAUUGGGCGUAAAGAGCUCGUAGGCGGCUUGUCGCGUCGGAUGUGAAAGCCCGGGGCUUAACUCCGGGUCUGCAUUCGAUACGGGCAGGCUAGAGUUCGGUAGGGGAGAUCGGAAUUCCUGGUGUAGCGGUGAAAUGCGCAGAUAUCAGGAGGAACACCGGUGGCGAAGGCGGAUCUCUGGGCCGAUACUGACGCUGAGGAGCGAAAGCGUGGGGAGCGAACAGG
rnacentral:rRNA from 1 species